rnacentral:lncRNA from 1 species
AAAAAUACAAGUUGAAUUGUGACAAUCUACGAAAAAUUGAACGGGCAAUGGCAAGUGAAGAUGUAAGAUAGAGAAGCCAUUGCUCCAUUUUACCUCCUGGCGAGCAAGCUUUAGCUCUGCCUCCAGCGGUGCAAGAAUGGCUUCAAUGGGGGGCAUGUCAUCAUCCUUCUGCGCAGCAUGAACUCUUCUAAGCGUUGCUUCUGCUGCAAACUGAGCGGCCAUGGAGGCUUUCUUCUCGUCAUUGAUUUUCUUGAUUUCGAGAUUCUGCACAUUUUAUUGUUUAUGAAACUGCAAUCUAAAUUGGGAACUAACUAGUAACUCACAAGAUCAGGUAUAGCAGUAAUACUUUGCUCUCUAGAAGGGAUUCUGUUAGCUUGAGUUUCUCCGCUAACUUCUCCAAUUCAUCCGUGAGCUGACAUGACAAACACACAAUCAGAAUUAUUGUCUCGAUACGCGAGUUCUACCAUGUAAUCAACUCACCACAUUAAUCUAUACAAUUGCAAUAUUGAGAUUUUUCAGUCAUCAAACAUGAAACUUACUUCAGUACAACUAAUCCAAAUAUGUACGACAGCGGAGUUUUACAAUGUAGGAAAUAUAUCUGAAACAGCUGAUCAAAUUACAUGUGAUCAUCUAGGAUGAACCAGACCACAAAAAGGUAGCAACUUAUCAGCGAUGAAUCUUAUGAUACAUUAUAACUACAAAACAGCGGCAACUUAUUUAUCAGGUUUUGCAGCUUGAGAGUUUAUUUCCAGUGAAAAUGAUGAAGAGCCCUCAAAUUAUGUAACACAUACAAACCCACACUGCGUGAUUCAAAUAUGGUGAGAAUGAAACAAAUCUCGUAUGAAUAGUAACAGGAGGGAUAAACGGAGUUUUUUGAGAUUACCUCUUCAACGGCCUUCUCUCUCGCACGCUCCGACAACCUCAGCGCCCUAAUCUCCGCCUGUGCCUCCCCCAACUCCCGAUCCUUAUCUGAAUCAAGGAAAGGAGAAAAAUAAAAAAAAAUCGAAACAACAAGGGGGAAAAAGAAAAACGAAGCACUCGACAAUCUGAGAACCUAGAGAAUAAAAGGAAACCAAAAAAGAAGGGAUCAUCGGAUUUGAGCACAUUCCCACCUCGCACUUCGUUCUCGAGGCGAUUGAGCUCGAUCUUGACCGGAUCCGAUCCGUGCAGCAGGUUGAGGAACUCGUCGGCGUCCAAGCUCGGCCGGAUCGACCCCCGCCGCCUCGACGCCCCCUUGAACGACGCCCGGAUCGGCCAUCUCCGAUCUACCGAUCCCUCCCCCCGCACAACAUCCAAAUCCGAAGAGAUUUCCCACUCAACACGCCUCAAUCCCGCCUCGCCACGGAUUCGAAAACGAUUUCGGGUAUCUAGGGUUCCGGUUUCUCGAUCAAAAGAAACGAAGAUAAAAAAAAAAAAAAACCCCUAAUUUCUCUCUCUCUCUCUCGCUCUCUCUCUCUCUUGUCGUUGUCGUCUUCUUGGGAGUGUUUUAAAUCAGGAGAGAGAAAGAGAGAGGCUAUGCUCAACAGUGAGAAAUAGUGGAAACAGGCGGGGUUUAUUAUUAUUACUAUUAUUAUUAUUAUUAUUUUAGACCAAGAGAAAAAUGAUUUAGAGACUGGAGUUUUUAAGAAAAUUUUUAAGUAAACUUCAAAUACUCUAUAAUUUCGUAUUUUCUUAAUAUUUUAUAAUUUAAAGUGUAUUAAUUUAGUAUUUUAUUUUUUUAUUUUUAUCUUUUGAUCAGUUUCACUGUUAUUUUUUAUUAAAUCAUAUGAAAAAAUUUCGGAUACCCCAUUUAUAGCUUAUCGAAUAUUUACUCUAAUAUUUUUUAAUUUUAAUUUUGUCACUAAUUUAACAAAAAAAUUAGUAAAGUGAAUAAUAAAAAAAAAUAAAACCAAAGGAUAUGAAAAUAAUACAUUUUAAAUCAUAAAAUAUUUAAAGUUUUUUUAAAUUUUAUAAUGCAAUAUUUAUAUUUACUGAUGUAGUAUCACUGAUCAGUAAAAAUACACUUCCGAAAUUUAUCCAUUCCAUUAUAAUUUUUAAAAAUAUAUUCUUUAUUUUAUUUUUAUAUUAAAAAAUAAAUUAAUUUAAAAAAUAAAUAAUAUAAUAUAAGUGUUAUACAUUAAAUUUUUUCGAAUUUUAGAGAGGCGUAUUUAUUACUCUUCAGUCCAGUCCAGUCAGCAGUCGUCGAGGGGUAGCCGUGGCUGCCGUCACCGCAGAACCCGCGGAGACAACGGCUGUCUGCGAUCGCCAAAUGUCCCCCGAUUCCUCCUGCUUGAUAGAUAGCCUGCAAUUCUUUCUUCUGUUUUUUCGGAGCGGAUUAUUAAUAGAGUAAUAUUUCCUUUUUUAAAAAAAAGAAAUUAUUGAGAAAGACUUAUUACACCUGAUCUCGCUAAUUAAUUAUUAGAUUUUGAUUAGAUUUUUAGCGAUUUAUAUGUGAUAAUUACACCUAAACGCAUAAAUAUAUACUUUUUAUUUGUUUUACUUGUAUUGUAAAAAAUUAUAUAAUAUUAAAAAAAAGUAAUAUAUUUAUAUGAUUUGUUUUCUCUGUACGAAACAUAUAUUUAUGGCAUCCUAAAUACAACCUAAUGCACUUAUGCAAUAAGAUUAUCAUGUUAUCAUUUAAGCAUCUAAAUAAAAAGAAUUAUGCAAUUCAAGUCACAAUAUUCGAAUUGUACACAUCGCUCGACAACACAGGCUCUAGAUUUCUUGGCUUAGCAAAAACUUAAUCGCAAUCAAGUUCUUGUGGACGACUAACUAACAUAUCACCAACCAGCAGGAGUACGUAAUUGCUUAAUCUGAUGAUCAUCUCUAAUUUGUAACUUUAAUAAAACCUGUCCCUCUAACACUAUUCUAGAGUACGGCGGUUGUUUAACAUGAUAUCAAAAUAGAAGAUCCUGAGUUCGAAUUACGCCAGACUCCUAACACUAUUAAUUUCAUCCCAUUUAAUUCAAAUACUACGUCAUGGAUCUUACAAAAAAUCUCGAGUCCAAACAUGAGAAGAAAUGUUACAUAUAAAAGUCUAUAAAUAUCAUUCUCUACCGACUUAGCCUUUUAAAGUACAGCAUUAUUUAACAUACACAACCACUGACACAAAACACACACUGAGAUGAUCAGAUCAUCACCCCAGUGGUUGCAUUCACAUGCCUUAAGGUUACCAAAGGGUGACAAAAAGAUUCAACAUGACAUAAUAAAUUGUUUAUCCUCAACCUUACAAAUGGGUCCCAAUAAAAAUGGAGAUAUUGUAUGACUCUGAAACUGGUCUGUAAACUAAAAAUACACAUAUUAAACUAGAUCAGUUAAAAUGCAAUAUAUAUAUUUUCGAGUGAAAAUGCUCUGAUGCACUAUAUUAUUUUUUGAAUCAUCAAAUAAAUUACAUGGGAAAUGUUAACUUGGAGUUCCAUGAAAAGGGAAGCUAAGUUAAUAUACUGUGGAGAGAUCACAAUCAAGAUAGUAACAGAGACGUGGAGAGAGAGAGGGAUAAUCACAUGCAAAGUUUACGUGUCCUAAUUAAGUCACUAUCCUUUGUUUCCUAUUCUAAGGUAAUUGACCAACUUUUCUAUUCCCUUUUUGCUUUAUUUCAUUUUUACAAAAAGGGGGCUCGAUUUUUCUUUUUUAACAAGCAAAAAAGGGUAAAAGUGAGUGCCAUUUUCAAUUAGGGGGUGCUUGAGUUUUCGAAAAAUAUUUUAUAUAUAAAAUAAUUUUAUGGCCGAAUAAGUAUUUUUUAUUUGCUUGAUUUUUAGAAAAAGUAGUUUUUUUUUAAAGAAAAUUUCUAGAUUUUAUAGAAAAACUAUCUUUUCGUUUUGUAGAAUAUUUUUAUUCUUUUUUCUCGGAAUACAACUUUCCACAAUUUUCCGUAUUUUUAAACUCUUUUUUAAUUUGAAAAAAUUUCAGUAUAUUUUUAAAUACUGAUUAUUUGGAUAGCAAUAGCCCGACCCAAUUGGCCUAGAUAAUGGCUGGGUUUAGCUAGCCCACAAAAAGAUGGGCCCAAUAUAGCCCAAUAAUGCUGGAAAAUUUUAGCCCUGGAGAUUCCCUACGUAGAAACAAAUAAUCGAAAUAUUCCAAAGAAUUCGUGCGAUUCUCGAGAGCCACUUUGAGAUUCACGCAGAUAAGAAUAAAUAGGCUGCAUUCCUUAUUAAUUCAGCUAAUGAAAAGUUUUUCAACUUUACGUGCACGUACCAUUCAAUAGGCACAACAACAGCUUUGGAAAAAAAAUAAAAUAUUUAUCUUUUUCUUGGCUAGAAAGAUGAAUUAACAAAAUGGAGGAUAAUUAACUCCUGAAUGAAAAAGAUUUUUUCGGAGUCUCAUAUCCGAAAAGCGCAAGAUAAAUACAGCUUAAAUCUAAGGCUGUAGAGAAAAUUAAGUGAAAUGCUUCAGAUACAAAAUAUGGAAAGGUGUAUGUACCUUUCUUUUUCCCUAUCGAACGUCUCUAGCGUAAGUGGCAAAGGAAUAAGUGGUUGGUACCCGAGAUCUUAAAUUCGAAUUCUAAUUGAUUCACAUUUCUAGCUAAUCUUAUUUUUAAAUGAAAUAAACGAAGCGGAUAGUAUGCUACUUAUUUCUCAAAUUUUGCACUGCUAAUUUUUCAAAUUUCUACCCAUGUUUCACUAGUCUCUAUGCUUUUAAGCUGAACAACCGGAUACUUUCAAAUUUUAAAAAUGCUUCAUGCAUUCAUCGACUUUAAACAAAAAAAACUUCUUUUGCAUUUAGGGCAUGUUUGAUAAAUUUGAAGUUGGAGAUGAAAAGGUGAAAUUAAUUUAAGGAAUCAAAAGAUUAUAAUAUUGGAAAAAGUGAUGUGAAAUCAGAGUUUUAUAAGGACGGGACAAAAAUUUUAUGGGCACGGUGCCCGGAUGGGUGUACAGCGGCGCCCAUCCGCACCCUCAAAAAAAAAAAAAUNNNNNNNNNNNNNNNNNNNAGAAAGAGAGGGGGAAGGGAGGGUGAGGAUGGGCGCCGCGCACACGCGGCGCCCAUCCGGGCACCGUGCCCAAACAAAUUGUUUGGGCACGGUGCCCAUAAAAUUUUUGUCCUAGAAGGACCUACCUGGGAUCAUUCUUAAUAUGCUCUCAUAAACUCUCCACUUUAUGUAGGGACGUGAAGUACCACUUCACCUAAUCCGGCCUGAGCGAUGUCGUCGAGUUUUUAAGAGAAAGAUGAUAUACUAUUCGUUUCGUUUAUUUUUUUAAAAAAAUAAAUUUAGCUAAAAAUAUGAAUCAAUUACAAUUUGAAUUUGAAAUUUCGGAUACCAACUACUAAAGUUUUUAUCACUUGCACUAGGGACGGUUGGUGGCCCCGAGCAAUGUCGAGUUUCGAAAAUUCAUGAGAUCGAUGGAGUGCACUUCAGUAAUAACGAACUUAGUUUAUAAAAAAAAAAAAAUUUAUCUGUGUGAACAAUUUUUUUUUUUUCUUUAAUAGAGAACAAGAGCAAUGAUGAAGUGAAACCAUUUAAAACAUGUAACAGAACCGUAUCUGAAAAUAUUGCUCCUAUUAAAAUACUAAAUACAAACAAUUGCUUUUGAAUAACAAUUGCUUUUGGUAUCCGAGACCCAAGUUUAAAUUCUAGUUGAUUCACAUUUCCAGCUAAGUUUAUUUCUAAAUAAAAUAAACGAAGCGGGUAACAUACUAUCUAUCUCUCAAAAAAAAGAGAAAAGAAUAUAAGUUAUAUAUUUAUAUAUAAAUUUUGUUAUAUAUAUAUAUAUAUAUACUAUAUAUAUAUAUAUACACACACACACACACACUCACUUUGUUUAUUUUUAAUUUAUGGGUUGAAAUAUUGUGUCAUGCAUAAACUGCGAAAUGUAGCAAAAAAAACAAAAUUUAUCUAUAUAUACUAUAUAUAGCACUCUAGUGUAUAUAUAAUAUAAUAUGGUUAUUGUAAUUAUGAGAAUUAAUUAGUCUCUUCUUAAUGUUUUUUUUUUUUUUUUUGGAGCAAAAUACCUUCUUAAUGUUGAUGAACCUUCCUCCACGUUUGCAACGUCCUGUGAUUCUACAUUAUUAUUAUUAUUAUUAUUAUUAUUAUUAUUAUUUGUAAGUUCCCGCGUACUACACAGUGAAUUGGUGGGCCCCACCCCACCUCCCUCCGCAUUUCCUCGCUAUAGCCUCUAUAUAUAUUCACACACAAACGUCUCCUUUUCUCCCGCAAUUACACCAUCCAUAUCUCUCUAUCCUCUGGAAAAUGGAAAUGGAAAUGGAAAUGGAAACGGAAAUGGAUCGGAAGGAGCGAAGGACCGCGCGCGAACACCCGGCGAUCGCCGUAGCCCGCCGCGCCGCCGCCGGAGGGAAAACGCCGCCGCGCCCCGCCGCCGCCGCCGCCGCCCCGCUCCUCGACGUCUACGAGGUCGAGUGGAUCACCAGGGAGCUCGAGCGCCUCAUCGCUGCCGCCUCCGAUCGCCGCGGGGAGAGGAAGAGCCCUGUGGCGCCGCCGCCUCCGGCUAGGAGGGGCGGCGGCCGAGGAGGGUGGUUGCUGCGGCGGCGCGCGGUGGCGAUAUGUGGGUCGAGAGGGGAUAUGGUGGACGCGGCGGCGCUGGUGGCGCGCCGCCGAUCGAAGGCGCCGGAGCUCGUCUAGGGCCUUAAUUUUCCUAAACCGAUCCGAUGAUGUUAUUAAUAAAAAAAUAAUUGUAAUUAAUUAGCCACUGUUUAAGGCUUAAUCAUAUUUGUUUAUUUUGGAUUAGUUUCUCUCUGAAUUGGUGCAACAAUGUAACAAUUAGCAGUGUGAUGAUCACUUUGUACAUAUAUAUCCAUGGUUUGGAUCUUUUUAAGUCUCAAACAUUUCAAGUCAAUUCUAUUUGUAUGUUAUGAUUCUCCCUCUUUCUCUCUCGCUCUUUCUAAAAUUGGUUUAGGAAGAAUAUAAACUCCGAAUUAAUUUCCAUCAAAUUUUCGAACUACAUUUGAUCAUCAUUUAACCCCCAAAAGGAAAAACAAAGCAAGAACCAUCCUAAAAUUUACCCAGAAUACCAAAUGUUAUCUCAAGUUAUUCAUAAAUUGGAUGGUAGUUUGUUGUCGACGCAGACUCUCCAUCUUAUCCCUUGUUAUGUAUUGCUAUCACCGGCUACUGCUGUAUCGCGGAAGUUCGAACUCAUGACCAUAAUGUAAUACAUCCUGCUGGCUUUUUAAACGCUAAGAAAAGUCUAAAACUGCAGGUAUUAUACUGAAAUGGUAACAGGAGUACUGAAUAAUAGCUAUUAAUGAAGUUGCAAAAUCUGCUGGUCUAUAAAUGCUAGAAAAUUCUCCUUUUUCUUUUUGGAUGCCACUUAUGGAACCCUAAUUAAGAGUCCUCGAAUGGAAAAGGAGUGUUUUUAUUCAUUCGCUUCCUUAUAUUCCAUAAGAUUUAGUCAGAAGCUAGAGCUUACGAGUUUCCUACACGCAUAUUCAUAUUCAUUUAUUUAUGUGGUGAUUAAAUGCGGGAUUUGGUUACUAGUUUCUGUUGCCGUAAAUGUAGAUAUUUUGUUGCAGAUUUUUGUCCUUCGCAAUAUUCCUAACGCAGGUUUUUGGGCUGUAGAUCGUUUGACUUAAAUCCUUGUUAAAAAAUCUCAAAAGGCAGAGGAAGUUUGCUUGUUUGUUUUACGGAAAAUAAAAUUCAGAUUAAGAUAAAUUUUCAGAUAAACUAAAAUUCAGAUGAAAAUUACUUUUCUUUCAUUGUUUCUCUAUAUAACGAUGGAACUGAAGUAUUUUUGAAGGAGAGCUAAUAAUGUUUUUUUUUUUUUUUCUCACUCUCUUCUUCCAUAAUUGGCUUUGGCCUGGGAUGGGUGAAAGUCAUUUACGUUGUUUUAAAAAGUUUUAAUUUAAACUUAAAGUGAAGUUGUGGUAAACCAAAGAAGAGGGGUUUGACAUUUACGGUCGAAACCCUCUUUCCCCCUCUCUACUUUUGGCGAAACAAAUGCGCAUCCAUGUUAAUUGAAAGACUUAAAAACAGGUCAAAUGCGUUAAGUUUGGCAGAUUUAGUUGUUGAUUCUUGCUAGGCCAAUUGUCUCAAGCAGCUUAAAAGUUAAAACUGACCAACAUCGAUGACGAAGUGAUUAAGCUGGACACCAAUCAUAGAAGCUGAGUCAAAUAAUCAUGGUCAAGUUUAGAAUUGCAAAUUUAAUUUUAUAUGUUUACAGAGUAAACUUGGGGUUUUGAAAUGAACCUUAUCAAUCAUGCAGUUCUUCUAGUACUUGGAUGUUACAAGUUAAAAUACUGAUGGUAAAUCAGAAACUACAACUCUGACAAUUUCAUGCAGUUCUUCUAGCACUUGGAUGUUACAGGUUCCAAAUGCUGAUGGUAAAUUAGAAACUAUAACUCUGACAAUUUGGAUCCUCUUCUUUCAGGAAUGAACUCCGUUAUAAUGCAGUCUCAGUUCAGAUUUCAACCAGUCUAGUUUGUAGGAGAAAACUUAACAAAAUUCUGCAUGGUUUAGCUUUUUCUAUGAAGAUUGGGGCACUCGGAUAUUCUUGGAGUGGCAAAAGUUUGUCGAAAAUUUCUCUCAAAAGCCAUGAACCAUGGGAUAAGAUCAUAAAAAGACCUCCUUAAAAAGCAAGAAUUAUAGAUUCGACCGCAAUUAUCAGAACAUAUGACUUGUGUCUUCUCUACUGCUCAAAUUCAAGCCAAGAGUAAAAGAGCCAUAUGAAGAUAAAGAAAUAACAUGAGAUCCAAAGCAGAUGAUUUACACACUAGCCACAAUUGUGUGUCAACUAGUCUGACAUUGACGAAAAGAUAACUAGUUUUCUUAAAUGUAAUAUCAGAAAAACAUUAUGGACCUAGCCAUAUUUAUCCUUCUUCAGAACAUUGCAUAUGGACAAAAAAGUUUAAAAAGUAAAGAACAAAUUUAACAACAAAAAGAUCCAAGCGAUAAGCUACCAAAAAUCUCUGCCCCACUUUCACUCACAAGCUUCCUCCCAAUCAUCCACCUCUUCAGGUGUCUCUUCUUUAAUCCCCGACGAGGAGCUCUCAACUGGUUCGGGCUUGGUCAAAUUCAUAGCAGACUCUGAGUCGAGAACAUUCCACCGAUUAUUCGACACCACGAUUGGAGGGCCUUCGGUUCCAGCCCAUGCCGACACUGCGGCAUCACUCCUACCUGGCCAUUCCUCCCCUCCCCACGAAUCCGAUUCAGCAACAAGAGCCUUCUUCCAUGAAUUGCUGCUCUUCGAAGCCGCUUCCCCAGUUUUAGCCCCCAAUCCCCAAGCAUUAUUCAAUGUAGGGCCGCUAUUCUGUAGAACAACUGCCGCCCCUUGGUAGGCCGAGCCGUGAUCCAACCGCCUUAAAGCGGUCGCCGCUCUCAUUGGGUCUACGAAAACGGCAAGAGCAUUCUUGUCAUUCAUCCACACCAGCUCACACUCACCGCCGAACCUCAACACCAAUGCGCUCACAUCCGCAUCCCGUGGCAAGUCCAACAUUGCAACCACUAGCCGCGGGUCCAUGUCAACCAACGGGUCAAAGGCUGGAAGAUGGGCCGCUGAUACCGGAGUGCCCGGCUUGGAUCCAAGAAUCCGAGCUGGUGGUUUCGAUUUGGGUGUGGCGUGAACAACUAGGAACCGUUUAGGUUCCCACCCCGCAGCGUGAACCGAGAGCUUCCAUCUCUCAGCUAUGUGCCGAACAGCAUCCCUCUUCUCCUUUAACAUAUGACAAAAGACAUGGGAUCUAAGCUUAGUCGCUGAACCGCCUUUGGACUUUCCAAGCACGAGAAACUUGCAUCUCUCCUCGACGGUGAAAACCCACUUGGGCUCUCUUCUCAAAAGGUCACUGAGCAAAUCGGAUGCCGCUGAAUUCUCCCCAAAAUGCAGAGCGUCCAAAUUGACUGGCGUAAUAUCAAACGCGUCCGCGAGGACCCUCUUCCUCUCUAGCUUUGCGCACUCUUCAUCGCAGCAAAGCUUUCUCUGACCGAGAGGAAUUCUCUUCUCAUUUGCUUCUAACGGCUGGAGGGGGGCGGGUAGCUUCUGAACUACGGAUGCUUCGAAAACUGAAUCAGUAUUGAACCCACUCGUGCUGCCACCUCCGGCGCUACAGGGUACAGCAGCAGUAAUACGACCGCAAGAACAAGAGAUUGUAACAGUGAAUUCGCACCUCAAGUCAGGGCAGGGCGAAGAAGGAUGGCAGGGAGCAGUGCAGGUGUGUCUGCAAUCCCCUCUCGGUGCGCCGCACAACUGCCCACAUGAAGCUUUCGCUCCAAUUCCAGAACCACCACCGAUGGCAGAUGAUGGAUUAUCACAGGGAGGAGGAUGGCAAGUCCGAGCGCAUGCGUGCAACCCACACUGCCGGGUCUUCCCGCAUAGCUGGUUGCAGCGAAUAUCCUUCGAUCCACAAGGUAUGUUCCUUAACAGCACGUGCCCGCCUACGCAUUCCUUUACGACAGGAAGGGUGCACGGCGGGCAAUUCCCUGAGUGACAGGUGUGGGAGGCGGCGUGGCCACACGGUUGGGGGACCGAGCACGGGAGGGGGCAGGAGGGGGGCGGCGUGCCGCAGGGGAGGGGUGGCGGGAUAGAUGUAAGGCCGCAUGCACAAGUGAGAUCAGUGAAGAUGGUCUCGAGGCAAGGAGGGCAGUGGCCCGUGUGGCACAGCAGCUGGCAGGCAUGCUGCCCGCAACGCAGCUUCUUCCCGCAAGGCAUCGAGCAGAGGUGCGGAUCCCAACCGUCUCCUGCUUCUAUUCGGCCAUACGGUGUAGACAACGGGCAGCAGCGCUCGGUGCAGCGGUGCCGCCCGCAGCUCUUCUUGCGGCCGCAGGGUUUAAGGCAGAGGAACUCUUCCUUCUCCUCUGAAACCCUAGAGCACUCCACUGUACGGCUCGAAGACCCGCACCGGCAUUUCUGCUCCACGAGAACCAAACACGGCGGGCAAUGCCCUUCAUGGCAAGUCUCCUUGCACAAAUGAACUCCGCAAGGAAGGACCUUUCCACAAACACCAGAGCAUGUCGGUAUCGGAUCCAAGCAACUCUCCCUUUCCUUCUGCAACCGAGUUUUCCCACAGUGGCAAGUAGUAAUCUUCUGAGGCAAAAGGUUGCACUCCCCGCAAGUACCCGGAUGGCACUUCUCAGGGCAAGUGUGGUUUCCACAAGAGAGCGCCCGCCCGCAAACAGCAUCGCACGAGAAAACCCCCUCUGUAUCAUCGAGUUCGCCCUUCACGGCCAUGUCGCCGCAGAGAACCGCCUCGAUCUUCUUCUUGCAGAAGCAAGAGGCGGCGAUGACGACCUGGCAGGGGCCGCACUCGCCCGUAUGGCACAUUUUGUCGCACAGGUGGCGGGCGCACGAGAGCGGGCGGUUGCACCGCUGCCCGCAGGUCAGCGGGGUCUUCUGGUCCGCGCACCGCCGCAUGAUGGUCUGCUUGCCGCAAGGGCACGACUGGCGAGGGGCGAACGCCUUGCACGGCGGGCACGGCCCCGGGUGGCAUUGGAGGACGCAGACGUGCGGGCACGCGCGCAUCUCUUCCUUUGCAGUAACCAGGGGCGGGCUCCGAUCGAGCGGCUUACCGCAGGGCUCGCCGCAGGAGUGGGGAGUGAUGUAGAGGUCGUUGGGGGGGUCCCGGCGCCGGGCGCAGAAGCAGGUGUAAGAGAGGUCCUUGGCGGGCACCGAUUGCACCGAUUGGCACCCAGGGCACCGCCACCCGCUUCCGCCGCCUGAGUCGGGGGCAGGGGCAUCGGCGGAGGUGGGGGAGCGAGCCCACUUCCGGAUGCAGUGGAGGUGGAAGAUGGAGAAGCAGCUCCCGCAGGACCAGAUCGGCGCGGAGCGCCGCACCAUGUCGUAGCAGAUCAUGCACUCCACGGUGCCGCGCGCGAGCCUCUCCUGGAUCUCCUGCACCAGCUGCGGCACCCCCUCCGCGGGCUCCUCUCCGCCACCAGAAUCCGGCGGCGCCGUCGGAGGGGGAGGCGCAGGGCGGCGGUGGCGGUAGCGGGAGGGACUGGGGCGAGGGUGUUGAGGAGGGUCGGCGGAGGGGGCCGAAGGAGGCGGCGGCGGAUGGCGGGCGGGGGCCGCCGAUCCGCGCGGGACCCACUCGAGGCGGUUUCCAGCGACGGCCGUCGCGACGGUACGGCGGGAGGCGGCCCCCGCCGCGCGGCGCUGGUCUCCUCAUCAUCGCGAGGAAGGAGCUCUCGAGGAGCGCGGGGCGCAUGAUCUGACGACGUUCGUGUAGAUCCCCAAACCACCUAAAUAUCCGAUCCCCUCUCCGUAUCUCCCGAGGAACGAAUCCGUACCCUAACCCUAACCCUAAUUGAAGAAAGGAAGAAGAGAAGGAAGGAGAACCCCAAAAAAAAAAAAAAAAAAAUCAACAAUGAAUAGAUAACCUUCUUUUAUUUACUAAAACUUAUACUUAUUCCCCGAGGAAAAAAAAACGAAGGGGUGAGAUUGCUGCAAAGAGAGACCAGAGGAGAGGCGUAUAUAAGGGAAGGAGUAUUCUUGGAGGAGACGCAAACGAUUCGGUGGGUCGGCGACUCGGCGAGUCCUAAAAUAAUAAUAUUUUCUUUUUUUUAAAAAAAAACACCCCAAAAAUGUGGGGCAGCUGGAGUAAUCUUAGCCGUUGGAUGUAGAUUCAGUUGGCCCGCUUAAUUCUGCACGUGCAAAGAGGCAUCCUUUUGUGUGCUUGUAGGGGCGGUUGCGUCCUCCAAGCGAUUGUGGCCGUCCGAUCGCGAUCGAAGGGUCCGAUCUUCAAGAACGAUAGAUUGGUCACAACGUAGACCCAUCUCUCAUCUCACACAACAUAAUUAAUUAGUGAUCUUCUCUCUUGUGCUCGAAUCAACGUUAACAAAAGAAAAAUUAAAGGUUUCAAAAAGAAAUUUUUGUUUUUGAAGCCACAAACUCAUUUCAAAUAAACAUAAUUUAUAGAAAACUGCAGAAUGGGCCUGGGGGCCCAUUUUUGACCUUUCCUUCAUCAAGAGUCAAAACCCUCUCUGGGCGCGACACCCUUUCGGUAGAGGUAAAAGCCAAUCAAAUUUCUUCUUUUCGAAAAUAAAAUAUAAUAGUUUUUUUAAAAAAAGUUAUUAUAAUGGGAUAGAUAAACCCUAAAGACAAAUAUGAUUAAUUAGAAACAUAGAUGAUGUAGGGUCACCAUCACAUUUUAAAAGUUUUCUUUUGUGUAUGUUUGUGUAAGUUCGUAUUUGAAGUGGACCAAUGCUGGGCCGUGGCCCAUUAGCAUUGUAACAGCCAUAGCUCAUUUGUGCUCUGAAUAUAUAUAUAUAUAUAUAUAUAUAUAUAUAUAUAGAGUGUGGCUACUAUGCUUUCGGAAGCACGGAGCCUUCCGCGCUACCAGGUCGUUUUCGAUGUUUCGACUUUCGAAUCGUCGACCGGCUCCGUUAAAUUUGAUCUAGAGUAUUUGAAGUACUUAGAAAAUAAAUUUUAUGAUUUUUCAAUAUCAUUUGCCUAGUGAUCGAAGGGGCUCAAAAUCAAAUAAUUUUAAUGACCGUAGUGAGCCGUUUGCAAGUUUAACGGUGUAGAAAUUUUCAAAUCACGUGAAAUUUUGAUAAAAAGUUCUUUAUACUAUAUAAAAUAAGAUCAAUAUCUUUGAUCUAAAAUUUUAAUGUCAUAUUAUUAUGUUUUGUAAGAUUUUUAUUUUCAGCCGUUGAUUUUGAGCCCCUUCGUUCAUUAGGCAAAUGAUAUUGCAAAGUUACAAAAUUUAUUUCUAGGUAUUUCAAAUACUCUAGAUCAAGUUUAACGGAGCCGAUUGACGAUUCGAAAGUCGCAACAUCGAAAAUGAACUGGAAGCACAGAAGGCUCCGUGCUUCCAGAAGCAUAGUAGCCUCGCUCUAUAUAUAUAUAUGAGUCCGACUAUUAUACUCUUAUGAGUAUAGAGUCUCUUGUACUCAUAAAUUUCUUAUGAGUAUAGAACCUCUUAUACUUAUAAAUUUUUUGCCGUUUGAUCUACCCUUUAAUCAUUUUCAUCCGUUAGAUUAUACUAUUCAACCAACCACCUAUUCAACCCUAGGGGCCCACUAUCAACCUAAUCGUAACCACUCUCAUCCUAACCGCAUAUUUUUUCAUUCGAACGGUCGAAAAGAGCCUCUCCAUAUAUAUAUAUAUAUAUAUAUAUAUAUAUAUAUGCCUCACAAAAUUCUUGGGAUAUUCGAUUACACUAUACAAAUUUCUAAAAAAAUUGAAUAUACACAAACUAGAUGAUAAAGGCAAAACCAUGUAUCAUAUAUCAUGCAAAGGAUAUAUAUAUAUAUAUAUAUAUAUAUAUAUAUAUGAGUCCAGCUAUUAUGCUAUUAAUAGCAUGAAGCAUUUGGUGCUACCAAGUUUUCUACCGUUAGAUCUAUCCUUUUGAUCAUUUUCAUCCGUUAGAUCAUACUAUUCAACCAACCACCCACUCAACCCUAGAGGGCCCACAUCAUCUUAACUAUACAUCUCUUAAUCCAAUGGCCAAAAACUUGGUAGUACCAAUGACUUGGUACUAUUAAUAGCAUAGUAGCCUAGUUCUAUAUAUAUAUAUAUAUAUAUAUAUAUACAAAUAGGUGAUAGUAGUAUAAGAACCCACACAACCAAAGGUGGCCUUUAAGAGGAACCCUUGAAGUUAAAUUUUAAUCAACAUUUCCUCAACUUUUUCUGUCUCAAUUCAACAUUUCCUUCUAUUCUACCAGAUUUGCCGUAAAAACUAAUGGUAAAUCCGAGCAGAAGCAUCGUUCAUGCUGUAAGGCAUGCUAGAAUUGUUGUUGAUUCUUCGUGGCAAAUCUACUUAAAAAGAAGGAAAUGCUCAGAAUCAGAAAGUUUUUGAGGGUUGCUGAUUAAAAAAAAACUUAGCUUAGCCUAUACAGAACAAGCUAUAGCAUGCAGAGUCCCUAAGCUUUUUUAUUCUUCAUACCAUAGGAAGAUAACAACAUACAUACCUAGAUCUUCUAAUGAUACAUUUACAAACAGAGUUACAGUGCAUAUAUCUUCUUCUCGUGAUCCGAUAAGGCAUCCGGGUCCGAAUAGCCUGAAUGGAAAGACCAUGAGAACGACUUGCUCCCGCUCGCCCGUUUGAUUCGCCUCUGUUUAUCCUCACCGAACUUGAACCGCUGGCGAAGCACGAAAUACCCCAAAAUUAACAAAGUCACGACCAGUAUGGGCCCUCCCACUGAUGUUACUGUAACGGCCAUCCACGACUCGCUCCCCACAACCACAAAAGCCAAUGAGAGAAAGGCUGCACAGGUGCUAAGACAAGCCGACCACAUGAGCUUAUUCAUGAUCGAUACGACUUGUUUCUGAGCACCAGUGUCCCAUGCAACCAAAGUGAUCUGAACCACAACCACUGCAAGAGAAAUGAAGAGACCAGUGGCAUUUAGAAGGUAGAAGGCGCGAAAGCCCAUGACGUCGGCUAUAUUGGCCUCGCCACUUUGAUAGUAUUGUCCGGGUAAGUUAAAUAUGGCAACAAAGGCAAUAGAGGCAAUUAGAACAGCCACCAUAGUUACAGAAUUAAUGGUAUUCUGAACGGCUUCUCGGUGAAGCUUUUUCAGCUCUUUUGCGAUACCCGUGACUCGUUUGUUUGUUUUGGCAUUCUGAAUGAGCUGGUUCUGGACAUCGUGCUUUAUGUCACUCACUGUUCUCCUCAGCUCUGAUGUCUCGUCGAUUUGGCCGACGUUUCUGGCAUUUUUGGCGCCAGCUUCAGAUAAUCUUUCCAUUAUCUCCAUUUGGGAUUCACCGUAAGGGAUUCUUUCAGCCAAGUCCAUAGCUGUCUCAUUUUGAUUGUUGAUAGCAUUGACUAUAAUAGAUUCGUAGCUCAGAAGAAGUUGCACCAUCUGAGAGAAGGUAAGGAAUUGAGUGUAGUCAGCUCAAUGCAAACUAUAACAUACUUAAAUCAUUUACAUCAGCAAGCAUGUUUAACGCGGGAUUACGAGAUUCAAAGCAACUCAGCAAUAUGAUAGUGAAGCACAGUCUCCUCAGGAUGCUAUACUAGAAAGUUCUAUUAGACAAAUCAAUAGUUUAUAAUGUUAACACUACCUCACUACAGGUCCAUGCACAUCAAUAUUUAAUGCUUCAAAAGUGUCAGUAAGGUCUCCCAUCCAUGUUUUGACUGCUAGGAACUUGACUUCUUAACAUCUGCCCACGAUGACGAGGAUCAGAAAAAUUCGACAAUUCUCGUCCGAGAUGGAUGUAAGAGGACUCUGUUUAACAAUUUGUUAGCUGCUACACUAAUUUCAUGGUUUGAGUCAAAAAGAAAAUAUCUGUUGAUUUCAUAAGAUGAACUUGAUUGCAAUAAAGUCCAACGGUUAAAAGAGACACUUUGUAGGAGGGAUUGAACCAAAAUUUCAAAUCAAGUUCGUAUAAUGUCCAAAAUACUUCAGAAGUCAAAUUUCAGAUAUUUGAGUUUUACCUGAGUCUUAUUAAAUUUAUUCAAACAUAUCCAUGGGCUAAUAGUCUAUAAAAACAGUCCCAACAGGGGCAGAAAAAAACUAAGUCAAUGCACAAAAAAUAAUAGAAGCACAGAAGAUACUUAAAAUUUGAAGGAAAAUAUAGCAGAAAAGAACCGUAAACUUCACUCACGAAUAAGAGAGUGCACAUUAAGAUUACAACGAUUCAAACCAAUAAACUACAGGCAUUCAUGACUACAAGCAGUCACAGGACAGGAAUUAUACCUGAGGGCGCCAUUUUCUGGUCGCGAUGUGCAAAGCCGUAUUGCCCUUCUUGUCGCACAUAUUAAGGAUAGAGAUAUCAGCUAACAAGAGCUCCUCCACUGCAUCGGUAUUCCUUCCCUUGACGGCCAUAUGGAGUGCGGUUUGCCCCUUUUUGUCCUUGAUCGAAACGAUUCCAGGAUCCCUUUCUAUAAGUGCUUUCACUAUGCGAAGGUAGCCGAUUCUCGCGGCUGUGUGAAGUGCGGUCUUGCCGUUCUUCCUCACGAUCCUUAUCGAGCUCUCGUCAGCGUCCAAUAUGGCGUUAACAACAUCCACAUGGUCCUUAACAGCAGCAGAGUAAAGAGGGCUAGUGUUUGACGAAUCGCACAGCUUGCACAGUUCGGGCCAUCGGCUUAAAAAUUCCUUCACAAUCCCUGAGAGUAAUUUUUGCUAUGUCAAUCAAUAAUGGUUCCAAACAAAAUUAUUACCUCGAGCAACCUGUUGAUUAAUCAAGAAGCUUCUUGACAACCCCCCUUUUUUUUUUUUUUCCUUUAUAGCCAAAUAAAUGAAUUUUAAUGAGUUGACACCUUUGGAUACUCAGAUUGGGUGCAUUAAAAUAUUUCUAAGUUACAUCUUUUUAAUCAAAACAGUCAAUAAAGACAAAAUCAGUGGCUUAUUUCAAUCACAAAUCUGAUGCAUCAAGUAUAUAACUACUUUGAACUACCAAAGGUAACUAUGACAAGAACACUAACAACUAAACAACCGAAAUUCUACACACACUGAGCCCAAAAUAAAGAUAGGAUUGUGAGUAGUUAAAUCAAAUUCUAAAUUUCGAAUAAUAUCCUCAUUUUCAGUGCUUAACUAAUUCUGCUAUUAAAUCUCUUAUCGACCCAAACUGACACAAAAGAUUUCAAAUUUCACAACCCAACACACCUCCCCACCCCGGUGCCCCCACCCAAAAAAAAGAUUCUAAAAUUUGCCUACUCUACUCCUCACCGGCCCCAUCGUUCCCAAUUCUGAGAGAGAGAGAGAGAGAGAGAGAGAGAGAGAGAGAGAGAGNCAAUCACAAAUCUGAUGCAUCAAGUAUAUAACUACUUUGAACUACCAAAGGUAACUAAAAAAAGAAAAAAAAAAACGCAAAACGAAACAAAAAAAAUCUCGCUUUUAACCGGUCUCAACAAUUAAAGGCGCAAACUUUUCAAUACCCUAGAUUCUAAAAUUUGCCUACUCUACUCCUCACCGGCCCCAUCGUUCCCAAUUCUGAGAGAGAGAGAGAGAGAGAGAGAGAGAGAGAGAGAGAGAGAGAUCUGACCGGAGUGGCCUUGCUUGGCCGCCACGUGGAAGGCGUCGAGGUCGAGGCGGGAUCGGACGGUGGCGGCGGCGUAGUCGUAGAUCGGGAGGAGGAAGCGCACGAGCUCGGCCAUGUCGCCCUCCGCCGCGAUGUACAGCGCCGUCUCCCCCGCCUCCGUCUGCGCCGCCAACAGCGCGGCGCCGGCGCCGUCCCCCUCGCCGUCGGCCCCCUCGACGAGGCGCCGCACUUCGCCGGCGUCCCCCGAUCGGACGGCGGCGAAGAAUUCUUGGUACGAUCGGAACCGCAGAUCCAUCGCUAGGGCUUCGUCUUCGCCAAACCCCCACUCAAUCAAUGGAAUGAACCAUCUCCUCCGUAGUGAAGUGGUUCCGUCGCCUUCUUAGCUUUAAAUGCGCGAUGAUGACUCAGCAUGCUCCGUUUUUCCCCGUGAAGCACCGCAUGGGAUUGUUAAUGGCCCGGCCCAUUUUGAUACUCCCAAUAAAUCUAGCCCAGUAGAAAAGAAGUUCGUAGAUGAAUUAGUAAUGGGCCGGCCCGGCUUUUUUGGGCCAACUGGUGACACUUUUUUUUUUCUUUUUUUUUUCCUUUUUUUUUUUUUGUUCCAAAUCGGUAUAUGUUUUCUCUGUUAAUUUCUAAUCAUCCAAAUUUCAUCCUGACUACUCAUGUAAUAACCCCCGCUAAACGUCCGCGUUGACUUUUUAUAGUUUUUCAAAGAUUUUGAUGGUAUGUCUGGCUUAACGCUCAGUACGUUGGAUCCUCCAAAAGAAGCACUACAAGUCGUGCAUGAGAUCAAGAUGAACAGGCUUGACGCGACAGGCGAGCAUAAAGGAGAGGAAGUUAACGACGAAAGUGAAAAAGAAAAAAAAAAAAGAUCAGAAACUAACGGUGUAGUUAUUUCGAAAGGUUAAGAAUUUGAUUAGAAGUAGGGGAACAACGGCUCAAAUUCUAUGCCAGAAAAUCAAUUUUUUAAUUUGGUUUUGGGAUGAGAAAGAACAUCCUGGAAUAUAGCAGAGAUCUGCAGCUCCAUCAAUUUUCUGUGCACGAACCAAGAUCCAGAAUCAAUGAGAAUCUUAUCCAUUAAAAAUUAAUAUACUCACCAAAACAAGAAGAAAAAAAGAAGAGACUUUGGAAAAUAAACUAGUGGUUACAAAGAAAAAGGUCAAAGAGUGCAACUCCAUGGAGUACGUAGACCUCUCUUUAUGAUGAUCACGGGUUGACAAUUGCAGUUAGGCAUUGCACAGCUCUUCGUUUCUCUUUAAAAGGAAUAAAGGAUAAGAUUUCUUUUUCUGUUUUUCUUAGGAUUCUAAAAAUUACAUGAUAUACAUACAUAUAUACACCCAUGAAGUAGUGGUGCUCCUUAAAUGCGUUCUCUCAACCAUUUGAAAAGACAAUUAUAUGAAUCCAUUUGUACUUUUGCAAAAUUUGAUAUCACCGUCGAAAAUCCGAAAACAAUAUAAAAUCUUCUCUUUGGUUUUUUUUUUUUCCUUCAAACCCAAGUUUUUUAAACGAUUUCGAAACAAAGAUUUAAACAAUCUGUUUUCGCAUGUUGCGCUUAAAUCUUUUUCGAAGGUUAUUUUUUGUAACGAAAUCUUACUAUGGAGUUACUUUAAAUAUGUCGGAUCGAUCUGAAGCAUUUGUCCUGAUAAAUUUUCUCGUAAGUAGUAGUUAGAUUCUUCUUAAUUAAAUGUCAAGCUUAUGAACUUAUAAGGCCAAAAUGCAUGGACCAAGUCAACAAGAAACUAUUCAACCCUGUUUGAAACUUCUAUUCGAUAUUUUUAUAUAAAUAAUCAAAUAUCAUAGGAAAAAAAAUGUAGGAAUAGUAGACCUGGUUAAAUAUUCACAUGUUUAAGAAGAUAAAUUCGGGUCAGUUUAGAGCUAAGUAAAAUAUAUUUACCAAUUACUUAAUUACAAUAUUCAUUGAUAAAUCAUAUUAUAUGUGUGUGUGUGUAGAAAUUAUUUUAUUGCUACAAGCACGUAGAAAUUAUUUCACUUUCCUUGAGAGAAAUAAGAGCAAUAAAAUAAUUGCUAUGUGCUUGUAACAAGAUUGAGAUGUUGAUAUAUUACUUCAUUGAAUCCCCAUUAUAAAAUAACCAAUAUACAUACAUAUAUAUAUAUAUAUAUAUAUAUAUAUAUUAUAUAUAUAUAUAUAUAUAUAUAUAUAUAUAAUAUAUUAUAUAUAUAUAUAUAUAUUAAUAUUAUAUAUAUAUAUAAGUCAUUGUUAUAAGUUGUUAUAUGAAAGUCAGUGGUUGGUAAUAGAAUUGAAUGGCUAGCUAUUGCUUGCUUAGAACACAAAGCAAAACGUGCAAAAGGUCCUCUCCAUAUUUUCAACUAAAAUAAAAAAAAAAAUGCUGCAAAAAAAAAGUAUAAAGAUAUACAAAUUCUGUAUAAUGAAAUAGUAUAAAAUCCGAUAAUUUAAACCAACUAUAUACCUUUUGUUUUUAGUUUUGUAUAUCCACACUACUUAUCUCACAACGAAAAGUUAAUAAUAAAACCUGUGGUAUGAAUAUUCUUUUGUUACUUGUGUUGGACUGGUUCCAAACAUAUAGGAUGCAAUAAAUAUAGCACCAUUUACUUUUAAAAUCAUUGAUUUUAUUUACGAAUUUGAAUGAUAAAUAUAAGUAGUGUCCAUAUAUAGGUAAAUCCCAAAAAUGGAAGUCAAUUGUGCACUUAUUUAUAUAUUGUGAUUAAUCUUAUAUAAUGUAUAGAAUUAAGGUGAGUAUCCUUAAAUGUUAUCAUCUUUUAUCAUUCCUGGUUUAUAAAAAUUUAGACAUAAUAAUGUUAUUCUUGAUUUAUACUACAUUAAAAUAAGUUUUUAUUUAUUUAUUUAACUUUUUAGGAUUAAUCCAAUUACAUAAAAUUAAUUAACGGCAUUUUUUCAUUGUGAAACCCAGCUCGAAUUAAAACUAAAAAUUAAAGACGUGAUUACACACAAAAAAAAAAAAAUGAUCGGAGACCAAAAUAAUAAAAAUCGAAAAAAGUUGGUACUAGUGGUGCAAUUCCCUGUAGUAUUUUGUAUUAAAAAAAAAAUAUAUAUUUUAAUUUAGGAGUAGGACCACUAUACUCUUAUAAGUAUAGAUUUUUUUAUACUCAUAAAUUUUCAGCCGUUUAAUGAAAGAAUGCGUGGUUAGAAUGAUAGUAGUUUUUCGUUACAAUCAUACUGAUUCUAGAUUGAUUAGAUGGUUGGUUGAGUAAUAUAAUUUAACGGAUAAAAAUGAUCAAAAGAAUAAAUUUAACGAUAGAAAAUUUAUAAAUAUAAAAAAAAAUCUAUAUUCAUAUAUGAGUACAAUAAUUGGACUCUUAAUUUAGACUACAAUUUAAAUUUUAGAAGUAAUUACGUGUGUGGGUGAAUCGGGCCACGUCAGCGAGAGGUGGUGGUGUGGGUCCCACGGCGAUUCCAGAUUCAGAUUCCGCAUAUACUUCCAGCGCGGUGGGCCCCACGGUACAAGUAUGGCCGCCAGCUGGCGAUGACUUCGAGGCAGCGCCGAACCCCCGUAGACCGGGUCAACGCGGGCGUGCGCGAUUGGCCACCAAACUCUUUUAACGCAGAGAAAUUAUCCGAUGAGUCCGGUUCACCACGUCAGCAAUAGAUCAGGUUCGUGAUUUUUAGUCUGUAAAAUAAAUAUAUUGCCCAAUCACUUUUCUGUUUGCUGAAAUUAAAAGUUCAAAUUGAAAUAAAUUUUUAAAUAAAAAAUAAAAUUUUAAAAAUAAUUAUUUUUAUUAUUUAUUUGUAUAGCUGUGAAUAUAAAUUUUUUUAAGUAUUACUAUUCAUGUAGCAAGAAUUAAAUCAUGUAAAAAUUCUGAAUGCGAGAGAUAAAUUAGUAUUUUAUUCGUUGUAUUUUUUUUCAUAACUGAUUUCGAUUCAGGCAAUUAUGCAUUUACGAUAUUUUGAAAAUUUUAAGUUUCAACAGAAUAUAAAAUUAUAGUGGACGAAUCAACGAAAAUGGACAUUUAAAUACCCUUUCACUCCUCUCUACUCUUGGUGAAAUAAACAUACUAUUUUUUGUUUUUCGGAGGAGGGGAGGACAGAAUUAUAAAAUAAUAAAUUAAAAUUUUAUUAAUUAUAUCACGAUAAAGUAAAAAAUAUGCUAAACUGCAGGCUCUGGUCACAAAUUCACUAAAGAGAAUAUGUGCGUGCCAAAUAUAUUUGCUAGAAACAUGUUGUAUAAAAUGUUAGAACAGGGAACGAAGUGCAAUGCAUCUAUGAAAAUAAAUUAAUAAAGUUCUUAAUGUGGUGCCAAAAAUGUUAUUGGAACAACAAUAACAUCAACGCUUAGGGCACGAAAUGGUCAUUCUCCUUUGAAGUUAUCUAAAUAUUAUUUUGUUCCAAUAGAAAUGCUGGUUUUGGAUUCAUAAAUGAAUUGUACAUAUCUCUAAUUCAUCUUUUAAAUAUAUGUGACAAGUUGCCUCUACUAGGAAAGGUUUUUUUAUUUAUUUAAUUUUCUCACCCUUCUAAGAACAUUGCCCACUGUAUCUCCAGAGAAUAGUUGUGGGGGUACAGCUAUUUAUAGUUUUUUUUUUUGUGGCUAAAUUAUAUAAAACCUCACGUCAAUAUAAGCUUUUUCACUUUUUCUUUUAUUAUUUAAAAAUUUAUGUUUUGCCCUCUUGUAAAAUAAAAAAUAUUCACAGAAAAAAAAGUACAGUGUGAACUAUGAUGAUAAAAUGAUCAAUUUGUCACUCAUCAUUUUUUUCUCCUCCCUCAUCUUGCUCAUCUGCGGCCUCGAUUGGCCGCGGUUCUCUCCAUUUUCUUCUCCACCUGCUCUCCUUCUCCUCCUGCACUCUCGUCACCCUUCCAUUUUGGCAACAAUAGGAAAGAAAUCGAGAUGAGCGUGGAUGGAGAGAUGGGCAAGGGCAACGAGGGCGAAGGCGAGACGGUGGAGGAGGGCAAGGGGGUGUUUGUCGGCGCGGAUGGAGAUGUGGGUUAGGGCGAAGCAGUGGAGGAGGGUGAGGCCGCAGAAGAGAAGACUGGGGGUAUUUUUGGUAUAAAAAAUAUAUAAUAAUAAUUUAUAAACGGAAUCCUAACGGGACAGACACUAACGCCGGGGGUGAACUGAAUAUUUUUUAUUUUUUAUUUUAUAAGGGGGCAAAGUGUAGAUUUGUAAAUGACAUGACGAAAAAAUAAAAAAAAAAAGGGGUUUUGACAGAAAUUUUUUUUUUUUUUA